rnacentral:lncRNA from 1 species
ACACACACACACACACACACACACAGACUAUAAAAGCUUAUAAUUGUUCAACACAAAGACAACACGUUAGGCUCUCUUACCUGCACUAGCAGGAAGUCAACUUUGAAAGCCAUCUAAUCCCUACAAAAGGUAUACUUUUUUAAGGCCCACUUUAGAUCUACACUUGGAGAAUAACAGACAAUAAAGAAUUUCCCAAAGGACAAGGUCAGGAACCAUGGAGAAAAAUUAUUCCCCCCCAAGGCAGAGGGACAAGCUUGUCAAGAUGACUAACAAAGAAACUUUUCUACUAUAAGGAUAAAAAUCUUCAUGAUUCCUACACACAGGAUUUGACCACUGCUAAGGGACUAUUAGGUUUCCCAUCUUCCCCUUUUCCAAAUGGGAGUGUCUUAUUCUGCUUCUCUUCUACUCUUGUCUUUUGUAUGUGUUACCUUGCCUCAUAUUUACCACUGUAUAUUGGAUAUCUAUGUGGGGGGAGGGGAGAGGGGGGAGCAGAGGGCCCAUAAAUUGCUUUUUAGAUCAGAUGUGCCAAAUAUAGGAAGUAAUAUCAGGGACUGAGAAAAUGAACUGACCUCACAUUACACAGAUAUAAUGAAUUUUGAGAACAAUGAGACUUAGAGAUGGACUAAAUAAGUUUCAUGCUCAGGAGAUAAGAGUGCACAUAGCAGAAACUAUUAGAUGUCUCCCCAAAUCCAUGUUCUUUUUUUCACAGUAAUGAGAAUUUUAGCUAGGUAUAUAGCAUUCUUCAUUGUCUAGCUUCCUUUGCUGCUACACAUGGUGAUAUGACUGAAUUCUGCCUAAUACAAUGCAAGAAAAUUGAUGUGUGCUACUUCUGGCUCAAUUCCUUUGAAGAAAGGAUAAAGUCCUCCCUUUUUAGUUUCUUGAUGGGAGGUAACCAUGGUGGUCUCCAUCCAUAAACAAGAUCAACAUUCAAGGGACAGCAAAGUGAAAAUAUGGUAGGUGACUGGGUCUUCUCCAGGGGUUCCAACCUCUGGGAAUUAAUGCCUGAUGAUAUGAGGAGGAACAGUUAGAACUGGACAUGGACCAACAGACUGGUUCCAAAUAGGAA